GACGUUGAACCACCGGUUCUCGUACGAUCACCGAAGUUAAGCAACGUUGAACCCGUACAAUAUCGAGAUGGCUGACCGCUUGCGAAUACCAGGUGCU